rnacentral:rRNA from 1 species
CAAAGAGAGGCGAGACCGCGAGGUGGAGCAAAUCUCAAAAAGCCGUCCCAGUUCGGAUCGCAGGCUGCAACCCGCCUGCGUGAAGUUGGAAUCGCUAGUAAUCGCGGAUCAGCAUGCCGCGGUGAAUACGUUCCCGGGCCUUGUACACACCGCCCGUCGCACCAUGAGAGUCGGGAACACCCGAAGUCCGUAGCCUAACCGCAAGGGGGGCGCGGCCGAAGGUGGGUUCGAUAAUUGGGGUGAAGUCGUAACAAGGUAGC